rnacentral:rRNA from 1 species
GACGAACGCUGGCGGCGUGCCUAAUACAUGCAAGUCGAACGCAGUGGGGACGGGUGAGUAACACGUGGGUAACCUCCCAUCAGAGGGGAUAACACUUGGAAACAGGUGCUAAACCGAUACUGCUGGAUGAACCCGCGGUGCAUUGGCUAGUGGGGGAGGUAACGGCUCACCAAGGCCACGAUGCAUAGCCGAACUGAGAGUGGGAGCGGUCACACUGGGACUGAGCCGCGGCCCAUACUCCUAAGGGAGGCAGCAGUAGGGAGUCGUCGGCAAUGGACGAAAGUCUAACCGAGCAACGCCGCGUGAGUGAGGGAGGUGUACGGAUCGUGAAACUCUAUUGUUAGAGAAGCGGUAUCUAACCAGAAAGCCACGGCUAACUACGUGCCAGCCGCCGCGGUAAUAC